UUGAUACAGCUUGCUAAUAUAUUUGCUAAAUUUGAUACAGUUGAAUAAGUUACCAUCAUUAUUAUAUUUUUCAAAAUUGUGUUACAAAAUAUCAUAUACGAUAUCUAUAUUAUAGUUUAUCUAUGAUUUUAACUGAUUGUAUUACCAAAGAGGAAAUUUCCUUGCUGGUAUUAUUAUAGUCAAUGAGCGUUUAAGGCAUUCUCAGUUGGUGUAGCAGUUUUAUAUUCUAAAAGAUAUAUUCUACUUUUCCAUCUAUGAAAAUAUAUUUUUCAUUUAUGUCAUCUAUCAAAUGAAUAGUAAUAAUUAAUCAUACAGUAAUCUUUUUACUUAGAUAUCCAUCAAAGUAAUCAAAAUUAAUCAUCGUUGGAGCACCAAUACCUGUUAAAUAUUAAUGUUUAUCAUAUCAGGUAAAUUCAAUUUUGAAUGACAGUUGAUGUCAUUAAAUAGCAACGCAUAUUGUCACUUGUUACAUCUUUGCUGACAAAAGCAAAGUUGUUCUAUUGUUUGAACCUAUCGUUUAUUUUUAAAAUCUCAUCAAAACGGGGGCUGAACAGUCAAUUAUGUCCGUCUCCCAGAUGGAAAGAAAUUUAUUCAAUCUCAAAUUUGCUGUGAAGGAAUUAGAGAGAAAUUCCAAGAAAUGCGAAAAAGAAGAAAAGGUGGAAAAGGCAAAAAUAAAAAAAGCCAUUCAAAAAGGUAAUAUGGAGGGUGCACGAAUUCAUGCAGAAAAUGCAAUUCGCCAACGUAAUCAGGCACUUAAUUAUUUACGGAUGAGUGCAAGAGUUGAUGCAGUAGCUAGCAGAGUACAAACUGCUUUGACUACACGCAAAGUUACUCAGUCAAUGGCUGGAGUAGUUAAAGCCAUGGAUGCAGCAAUGAAAUCAAUGAAUUUAGAAAAAAUUUCAGGUCUUAUGGAUAAGUUUGAAAGUCAGUUUGAAGAUUUGGAUGUACAAAGUUCAUACAUGGAGAAUGCUAUGUCUCAAACUACAACAACAAAUGUUCCACAGAAUGAUGUUGAUUCUUUAUUACAACAAGUUGCAGACGAAGCUGGUUUGGAGUUGAACAUGGAAUUGCCAUCUGGACAGUUAGGUAGUAUAGGUACCUCUACUAUCAGUCAAGAACAAGAUGAACUUACACAACGGUUAGCAAGACUUCGUGAAUAGUAAUACAGAUGUAAAAUCUAGUUACAGCACAGGUACAUAAUGAGAAAGAUAUAUCUUUAUCUGUUAUAAUUUGCAUUAACUUAUUAACCUUUUGACUGCCAUAUAAGAGUUUAAUGGAAAUGACCACCGUAUACUAUCCUUCUCUAUAAUUGCUUGCCAUAUACAGUGACUGGUUUAUUUUGUAACAGUCAGUGUACAAAGGGUUAAAAGAAAACGUAUAAAAACAUUUUCUUUAUGUAAACUUCAUAAUCUUAAACCUUUUUCGUAAUUUUAUUCAUUUAUUUCGAGUAAAAUUAUGUAGUAAUAAUAUAAAAAGCUAAAAUGUCCCACCUGAGGUUUAUGAUUAGGUUUCUCAGUUAUUUGUAUAAGACAAACAUAUAUUGUUCAGUAAAUGUACAUAUUUAUUUAAAAUCGCAGAAUUCCAUUAAACCAAUUGGAAAAUAUUAUAAUAAUUAAAUAAUUGAGAAAUAUUAUAGCUUAAAAUGAUUUCAAAAUUAUAGCAGUGUAUAAAUAAAUUUAUAGCCAAUGGGAUUAUACAGAGUGUUCCAUUUGAAGUUAUGCACGCAAUUAUUUCCCAAACCAUAGUUCGUUUUAAAAAAUGUUUCAAAUGGAACUUACCUUGUCGUGGGAAGAAGGGGGGCACAUCUUAUGAUGAUCUCAAACCUUCUCUAAGCGGACGUGCUUCCGUGAUUUCAAGGUGAUCUUUGUCUUUUUUUCUUUUUUUUUCUUUUUUCUCUUUUUUUUUUCUUUUUUUUUUUACGGAACUAUAUGUUUCUAUUUAGGUAGGCAUAUAACCCGUUCCGAGAUGAAUUUAUCGAAUUAUAAUAUAUUGGUGUUUGAAGGUCAUUUAUUACCGUUCAAAACAUACCGUUAUUGAACGUCCAGCAAUUGUUUCUUAUGCAUUCCAAAGGAUGACUUUUGUAGUCAGUACAAUUAUUUACUCUAUUCCUGUAUGAUAGCUGCACUCUCUCGAAAGUGAUAGAACUAAUACUUUCAAAUUUCUCACGUUCUUCCAAAAUUAGAGGCAUAUCGACAAUCUUAUUGCGAAAUUAUUGCGAAUUUAUUAUUGCGUACAACGAACCAUUGUAAAUUAAAUCGUUACCGGAAGAAAGUACACGUAAUACUAUUUGCAAUAAUAUUGAUUCCUUUGAAGCAACUGUCAUACAAACUGAGGAAUAUCUGCCUAGUAGCAAAUUAUAGUUGAUAAUAAACAAAAGCAAAUACGAAUAACGAUAAAUCGCAUCAUUUGUGUAAUUUCGAUUCGUGUUUACAUCAGAAUUGACGCAAUACUUCAGUAAAUCAAAUCCUGAGAACGUUCAAAGAAAGUAAGCCUUUGAAAGGCAAUGAAUGACCUUCGAGUACCAACAUAUUAUGAGUCAACAUAUGAAUUCGUCACGAAAUGAGCUACACACCUCCUUAAAUAAAAAAAUACAGUUCCGUAUAAAAAAACAAAGAUCUCUAUAAAAUCUCGGAAACACGUCCACCUAGAGAAGAUUUAUGACCACCAAAAGAUGUCCCUUCCGAAAUAAGGUAAGUUUUAUUUGAAACAUUUUUUUGAAACGAGCUACAGUAUGGAAAAUAAUUGCAAACUCCAAAUGGAACACCUUAUAUAUCUUUCUUAUCUCUGUAACAAGUACCUAUAAAUAAUGAACACGUUAAAAUGUUCAACACAAAUUGCUUGAAUAAAAAGAGUUUACUUGCUAUAUAUUCAUGAAUAAAAUAAGCUUUUAAUAUAAUCAAAACUCAUUUGUUAUAUUAUAAGAUUAGAUUUCUGUAGAAUAAAAAGAAAGCACUAUUAAUUGUUAUUAAUAAUUAUUAAUAAUUAUUGGUAAUAAUUAUUAAUAUCAUUAAUUUUGCACAAUAUUGUAAACAUAGCAGGUACUACUCUCUAUGAUAUGAGAAAGAGUAUACUUUUAUAUAAAGACAAUUUAUCAAAGAAAAGCUUUAUUACUGCAAUGGUAUUUAUGUUGUAAACAUACUGUAUGACAGAAUAAUUCAAGUAGAUUGAUUGUACUUUAAAAACAAUUUGUAGCAAUAAAUGCUUGUAUUAUACGUAUAUCAUAUAUUAAAUACAUAAUAUGAUGCACAGUUUAUUAUAUAUUUGUUUGAUAAAAAUAAAUUUGUAUAAUAAAUAUUUUAAUAAGUAGUA